rnacentral:rRNA from 1 species
AUUGAACGCUGGCGGAAUGCUUUACACAUGCAAGUCGAACGGCAGCACGGACUUCGGUCUGGUGGCGAGUGGCGAACGGGUGAGUAAUGUAUCGGAACGUGCCCAGUCGUGGGGGAUAACGUAGUGAAAAUUACGCUAAUACCGCAUACGAUCUAUGGAUGAAAGCGGGGGAUCGCAAGACCUCGCGCGAUUGGAGCGGCCGAUAUCAGAUUAGGUAGUUGGUGGGGUAAAGGCCCACCAAGCCAACGAUCGGUAGCUGGUCUGAGAGGAAGACCAGCCACACUGGAACUGAGAGACGGUCCAGACGCCUACGGGAGGCAGCAGUGAGGAAUUUUGGACAAUGGGCGAAAGCCUGAUCCAGACAUUCCGCGUGCAGGAUGACGGCCUUCGGGUUGUAAACUGCUUUUGUACGGAACGAAAAGGUUUCUACUAAUACUAGGAGCUCAUGACGGUACUGUAAGAAUAAGCACCGGCUAACUACGUGCCAGCCGCCGCAGUAA